AAGCUAAGACGAGGACGAGGGGGAGAGUGCAAAAGGCUCGAGAGGAAAUGUCCAUCUAUGUGCCUUGGCUGCCAAAGUAGGAAGUUAGGAAUUGUUUAUUGAGAGAUAUAUUUGUAAUGCAUUGGCAUGCAAGUGAGGAAUCCCUGAGGACCGACCCUGUAGUUUUGAUAUUAAAAAAAAAAAAAGAAAAAUUGAGAGUUGUUGAGCUCUCUUUUAGUUCGUGAUCCAAUGACUCUUUGUUUUUAAAUUCUAAUAUUGUUUGUGCU
rnacentral:lncRNA from 1 species